CAGUCCCACACCUAUAGGAUAUAUAGUGUCCCUGAUGACCUCAGAGUGCUUAAACAACAGCAGGAUUAAGCCUAACGCACUGAGGCAGUCCAGCGUGUCAGGCUCCCUGCCCACGCAGGCAGGGCCACAUGUCCCCGCUGAGCUCCCUCGCCCCGACUGCUCCCUGCGCCUCUGGGUCCCACACAGCGCUGGGACUUAAAAGGGCCAAAGAAGGUACCAGCUGCAGCUCUGUAGACCUCGGUGCUGCUGUUCCCUCUGGAUGAGCCCCAGGAAGGCAUGUUGAGCCUGUUUCAUGAAGGGGGACAUGGGAGUGCAGCUCUGAGUUUCAAGUCUUGGACUGCUGACAGACCCAGGGCCCUGCCUUGCUCUUUGGUGCAAUUUUGCACCGUGCCACAGGCGAUUUGCUCCUCGCCCCUUCCUGUGCAGUGGGUCUUGCUCGAUCUUCCUUCCUGUCAGCGCAGGGCUGCCGCCUAUGCAAAUCAAUAGCUGAACUUUUCUCAAAUUGUGAGUUUAUUGCUAAUGAGGUGGACCACACGGCAUCCACACCCGAGGAGCCAGAGCCACCCGGGACUGGAGGGAUCUCCCCUCCCCAGCUCUGCUCAGGCAAGUGGGGUUGCUCAUUAUUUUGUAUUUUGGUUCUACAAAAAAACCUUAAUUUGUAAAUCCUGUAACAGGUUUUGCUGGCAUUUAGGGAAAUCCUAUUAAUUCUGAGAUGUUGUGCAGAGAGGCUCCCAGAAGGAGGGUGGGCGAGGUGGCACAGCAGCACUGAGGCCA